AAUCUCAACGAAAGCUUCACUGAAUCUUUAGAACAAACUCGCAUGCGUGUGAAUCAAUUUACUUGAUUCACUCUUGAUUCUUGACUCAGAAACUACGGAAACCUUAUUUGUAUUCCUGUUUUCAAAUUGUAAACAAUAAUCACACUUUCAUGCUGCAUGAAAUUAAAGUAUGAACUUUCCUCAAACCAUUACGUGUGCAUGAACUCAACAAAUGCCGUUGAUGCGUCUGUAUCGAUUCGCUCGAUCGAGUCAUUUAUGUUUCGUCCCGAAAAAGAUCCGAAUCGUUUGUGAAUCUCAUCACUGUUAGAAACCCAAGAGAAGAGAUCCUCUUCCCUUAACAUCAUCAGAGGAAAAAUCUGCUUCUUAAUCAAUUAGUUUCAGCGUUUGUCUCUUCUCGAGCAAGGCGUGGACUCUGUGGUCUGUGUGUUCUGGUGUCUGCUGAGUCACCAGAAAUCUGCCAAGACACUGACACUUGCGCCUGCUCCAACAUCUGGCGCAUAAGGGCUUUAAGGUUUCCAGAACCAAGCUGCAAUAUUGCAUGGACACUUAAGUAUUUGAACUUUUGAAGUUUUGAACUUUCUCAAGGCUGUCAUUCUAGACACAAAACCUCCUCCACUGCAACAUCCUUUGACCUGGACUGAUGCUAUGGUGGUCGCUUAUCACUCCCUCAGAAGCACCCUUUGUUCCGCCCCUGGGUCACCUGCUCACUUCAAGCCCUUCCACCUCUAUGCCUGUGGACACCGGGGCACGGCCUCUGGGGAACGGGGGGGGGGGGAAUGCAUCAUUGUGCGUUUUUAUCCAAAACAUUAAAACAUUAGACAUUGUUGCUCAAGGCUUACUUGCGUUUCUGGGGGCUGUCUCCGCAUGUGCUUUGAUGGUUGCAAAAUUGACAGACCCAUUAAAUUAAUUAACAAUCUCGAAAUUCGUGUCACAUCCUCUUUUGAUAAUGUAGGUCGCGCUCUCGCACGCCUCCUUAAUUCUCGGGAUGACACUUGGGAUGAUAUUGUCUGUCUAAAAAUCGUACAUACUACUAGUAUCAGGUCUGAUCUCUUCCCUCCAGCCCUCUAGGGAUCUUUAUUGGUGGUUUUUGUUCUAAACCCUCAGACGGUUCUUGUUUUAUAAUUUAUAAUAUUAUCACACCUCUGUGGUUAUUCUGUGUGUUCAAUUAAUAUCAGCCUGAUAUUCUGCAUGAGACAUACGCUCUUUCUUUCUUUCUCAUUUGAUUUUUGUCAUCUUGAUUGUGGACAGAUUCUCUAAAUGGGUAGAAGUUUUUCCCUGUUCUCGAGAGAACGCGAAGGUAGUUACUCGUUUUGAUACCUAGUUAUAAUAAUAAUAAUAAUAAUAAUAAUACAUUUUAUUUAUAAGUGCCUUUCAAGGUACCUAAGAACACUGGACAGUAAAAAAGAAAAACAAACAAUAAAAUAACAAUAAGAUAAUAAGAAAUCAAUAAUAAUUAUUGUUAUAGUUAUGGGGUUUCAAAAUGCCAUAGAUUCCGACAAAGGUACCCCUUUCACCUCAAAAGUCACACAAAACCUUUGUAAGUAUCUCUAAGCUAAACUGGUGUUUUCACAUUCCUCAAUCCUGUGGUAUCGUAGAACGUACUAAUCGAACAUUGAAAGACAAAUUAAUUAAGGUCAUGCAGGACACAGGUUUGCUUCUGUAAUCCAUAAUUCAUUCUGGCUGAAAUUCGCAUGACACCAAGAAAUUAUUUUUGGAAGACUCUCCCCUGGAAGAAGGGAACUCCGGCUCCGGGUACCUCUGAUUUGAAAAUGCAUAUGGAUGAGUAUUCUGCAGCCCUUAUAGGUAAGUUGCAUAAAAUUUGUACCAAGGUCAAUAAUACAAUAUUAUCUCCACCACACACCCCUUUCACGUGGGAGACAAGUGCUGGUGUGACUUUUAAAGUAAUGAUUUGGACAAUUGGGAAAACAAUAUAAUGGGCCUGCAGACAUAGUCGCCAUUACUUUUGCUGCUGUUUUAACUGAUCUUUUUCCACAGUGGAUCCAUGCCACUCGAUUGAAGAAGGCUCCAUAACAAAGUUGUGUUACAAUAACAAGUUUGCUGCUAUUAAUGCUUUUUGUGUCCCUAUCUAGUCUCCCUCUGGCCAGUGUUCUCUCUCUGUCUCUCUCUCUCUAUUUCUGAGCUCUGCACAGAUUCGACUGAGAAUCCUCAAGACGUUGUGAACAAAGAGGGGAAGAGAUCUUGUGCCCCAUUUGGAACCAAUCAUCCUCACUACAACCAUGACAGUCCUCAUCACGGGUUUUGUGGCUUCAUUGUUGCUCGGGGCAGGGCUACCCGCCCGAGCCUUCGUGACUGCUUCAUCUUUGCUCGGGGCAGGGUUACCCGCCCGAGCCUUCUGGACCACUUCAUUGCUCGGAGCAGGAUUACCCGCUCGAGCUGGACUUCAUUGCUUGGAGCAGGGUUACCCGCUCGAGCUGGACUUCUAGACAACAUCUUCUGGACUAACUUCGCUAACUGAACUGCACAAGCGCACACCACACGAAUGUGUUAUGUCUUUCAUCUGAUGCCAUUUUCUACUAUUAUUACACAUCUCUAUGCUCUGAAACUCUGUAUUCUUACAGGACUCUGUUCUCACUAUAGGUCGAUAUGUCUUCUAAUUUCAUUUUUCCCCUCACUGUUUUAGAACAAAUUACUCUGAAGGAAGUAGGGUGUAUCUGGGAAUUAAGAGGUUUUGAGUUUCUCUAAGCUCUGGUGAGGUGGGACGAGGGCUGAUUGGGCAUGCCCGCCCUCUGAGCACCAAUAUACGUCAAGAAGGGCAAAGAUUAACUCAGGAUUAAUUCUCGAUGUAAUCACAUAUAUGAUCAUGAGGAUGCUAGGAUUUGAUAAUAGUGAUACUAUUAUCAAAGGGGGGGAUUGUUAGGUCAAAUUUUAUUAUACGUAGGUUAUGAUCAGAAUAUGAAUCAGAAUCAGUAGGUUAAAUCAAGAUAUAUGUAGACAUAUGUAAGUUUAGUUAAGAAUUCAGUGAAUUAUAUUAGUUGAAACGACCUUAGGUCCGGCUGGACAUUGUUUGGGAACAUUUUGUUUAUGAAAUGUGUAUUUUGAACAGAGAAGUGUCUGAAGGACCCACCAAGGUCUGUUUUAGUGUCAGAUCGACCCACACACACACUUUAAUGUUGGAUGUAAUGGUAGCCUUUUUGCUGAACAAAGAGUUAAGACUCUUAUAUUAUAUAUUAUAGUGUAUAUUUUAGAGCUUUUUAAGAUCCUUUAUUAUUUUGGACUAUUGCAUAUACUAUGGCAGUGAUUUUAAACUGUUCCUGUGUAGCCUGACCUUCGUCCAGUGGAGAAGAACACUUCUUUGUUAGACCAAACAUAGUCUUUGUUUAAAACAUUGUCGUAAAAACAUCUCACGCGCUUUGACGUACGUAAAUGAAAUUGCUGAAUUGCUGAAAUAUUAUUUUGCUUAUUAUUGAAGGUUUCAUUCACACACACAUACAUAUGGAAUUAAGAUGUGAUUUGCCGACCUAGCACAUAGACACAGAUAUCAAAAAGAUGUCACUCACUCACACCCUCCCAUAGACAGACACACACACACACACCCCUCUCUGAGGUCACAUACAAACACACACACACAUUUGACAGACACAAUAGCCGUUUGGAGAGAUUAUGAUUUGUUAUAAAAGGUGUUUGUAAUCUUUCAUCUUUGACGAAGUGACUGUGCGAAUAAACUGGCAUGUGAACAA